rnacentral:rRNA from 1 species
CCCUUAGAUGUUCUGGGCUGCACGCGCGCUACACUGAUGCACUCAACGAGUUUACGACCUUGCCCGAUAGGGUUGGGUAAUCUUUUUAAAAUGCAUCGUGAUGGGGAUAGAUUAUUGCAAUUAUUAAUCUUCAACGAGGAAUUCCUAGUAAGCGCGAGUCAUCAGCUCGUGCUGAUUACGUCCCUGCCCUUUGUACACACCACCCGUCGCUCCUACCGAUUGAGUGCUCAGGUGAAUAAUUCGGACUGCAGCAAUGUUUGGAUCCCGAACGUUGCAGCGGAAAGUUUAGUGAACCUUAUCACUUAGAGGAAGGAGAAGUCGUAACA